GACGAACGCUGGCGGCGUGCUUAACACAUGCAAGUCGAACGGAAAGGCCCUGCUUUUGUGGGGUGCUCGAGUGGCGAACGGGUGAGUAACACGUGAGUAACCUGCCCUUGACUUUGGGAUAACUUCAGGAAACUGGGGCUAAUACCGGAUAAGAGCUCCUGCUGCAUGGUGGGGGUUGGAAAGUUUCGGCGGUUGGGGAUGGACUCGCGGCUUAUCAGCUUGUUGGUGGGGUAGUGGCUUACCAAGGCUUUGACGGGUAGCCGGCCUGAGAGGGUGACCGGCCACAUUGGGACUGAGAUACGGCCCAGACUCCUACGGGAGGCAGCAGUGGGGAAUAUUGCACAAUGGGCGGAAGCCUGAUGCAGCAACGCCGCGUGCGGGAUGACGGCCUUCGGGUUGUAAACCGCUUUCGCCUGUGACGAAGCGUGAGUGACGGUAAUGGGUAAAGAAGCACCGGCUAACUACGUG
rnacentral:rRNA from 1 species